rnacentral:rRNA from 1 species
UACGGAGGGUGCAAGCAUUAAUCGGAAUUACUGGGCGUAAAGCGCACGCAGGCGGUCUGUCAAGUCGGAUGUGAAAUCCCCGGGCUCAACCUGGGAACUGCAUUCGAAACUGGCAGGCUAGAGUCUUGUAGAGGGGGGUAGAAUUCCAGGUGUAGCGGUGAAAUGCGUAGAGAUCUGGAGGAAUACCAGUGGCGAAGGCGGCCCCCUGGACAAAGACUGACGCUCAGGUGCGAAAGCGUGGGGAGCAAACAGG